rnacentral:rRNA from 1 species
GAUGAAUGCUGGCGGCGUGCCUAAUACAUGCAAGUCGAGCGGAAAGGCCCUUCGGGGUACUCGAGUGGCGGACGGCUGAGUAACGCGUGGGAACAUACCCCAAAGUGAGGGAUAACCGCCCGAAAGGGUGGCUAAUACCGCAUAUGGUCUUCGGAUUAAAGGAUUUAUCCGCUUUGGGAAUGGCCUGCGUACGAUUAGAUAGUUGGUGAGGUAAAGGCUUACCAAGUCUACGAUCGUUAAUUGGUCUGAGAGGAUGAUCAGUCAGACUGGAACUGAGACACGGUCCAGACUCCUACGGGAGGCAGCAGUAAGGAAUCUUCCACAAUGGGCGAAAGCCUGAUGGAGCAACGCCGCGUGCAGGAUGAAGGCCUUCGGGUUGUAAACUGCUUUUAUAAGUGAAGAAUAUGACUGUAACUUAUGAAUAAGCACCGGCUAACUACGUGCCAGCAGCCGCCGUAA